rnacentral:rRNA from 1 species
AGAUUGAACGCUGGCGGAAUGCUUUACACAUGCAAGUCGAACGGCAGCACGGGGGCAACCCUGGUGGCGAGUGGCGCACGGGUGAGUAAUACAUCGGAACGUAUCCUAGAGUGGGGGAUAGCCCGGCGAAAGCCGGAUUAAUACCGCAUACGCUCGAAAGAGGAAAGUGGGGGAUCGUAAGACCUCACGCCCAAGGAGCGGCCGAUGCCGGAUUAGCUUGUUGGUGAGGUAAAAGCUCACCAAGGCGACGAUCCGUAGCUGGUCUGAGAGGACGACCAGCCACACUGGGACUGAGACACGGCCCAGACUUCUACGGGAGGCAGCAGUGGGGAAUUUGGACAAUGGGGAAACCUGAUCAGCAUUCCGCGUGAGUGAAGAAGGCCUCGGGUUGUAAAGCUCUUUCGGCAGGAACGAAACGGUUUGGCUAACACCCAGACUACUGACGGUACCUAGAAGAAGAAGCACCGCUAACUACGUGCCAGCAGCCGC